rnacentral:rRNA from 1 species
AGUGAACGCUGGCGGUAGGCCUAACACAUGCGAGUCGAACGGCAGCACAGUAAGAGCUUGCUCUUACGGGUGGCGAGUGGCGGACGGGUGAGGAAUACAUCGGAAUCUACUUUUUCGUGGGGGAUAACGUAGGGAAACUUACGCUAAUACCGCAUACGACCUACGGGUGAAAGCAGGGGAUCUUCGGACCUUGCGCGAUUGAAUGAGCCGAUGUCGGAUUAGCUAGUUGGCGGGGUAAAGGCCCACCAAGGCGACGAUCCGUGGCUGGUCUGAGAGGAUGAUCAGCCACACUGGAACUGAGACACGGUCCAGACUCCUACGGGAGGCAGCAGUGGGGAAUAUUGGACAAUGGGCGCAAGCCUGAUCCAGCCAUACCGCGUGGGUGAAGAAGGCCUUCGGGUUGUAAAGCCCUUUUGUUGGGAAAGAAAAGCAGCAGGUUAAUACCCCGCUGUUCUGACGGUACCCAAAGAAUAAGCACCGGCUAACUUCGUG